rnacentral:rRNA from 1 species
GAUGAACGCUGGCGGCGUGCCUAAUACAUGCAAGCCGAGCGAACAGACGAGGAGCUUGCUCCUUUGACGUUAGCGGCGGACGGGUGAGUAACACGUAGGUAACCUACCUAUAAGACUGGGAUAACUUCGGGAAACCGGAGCUAAUACCGGAUAAUAUUUCGAACCGCAUGGUUCGAUAGUGAAAGAUGGCUUUGCUAUCACUUAUAGAUGGACCUGCGCCGUAUUAGCUAGUUGGUAAGGUAACGGCUUACCAAGGCAACGAUACGUAGCCGACCUGAGAGGGUGAUCGGCCACACUGGAACUGAGACACGGUCCAGACUCCUACGGGAGGCAGCAGUAGGGAAUCUUCCGCAAUGGGCGAAAGCCUGACGGAGCAACGCCGCGUGAGUGAUGAAGGUCUUCGGAUCGUAAAACUCUGUUAUUAGGGAAGAACAAACGUGUAAGUAACUGUGCACGUCUUGACGGUACCUAGUCAGAAAGCCACGGCUAACUACGUG